UACGGAUCUCCGUGAACUUGUUCGUCCUAGUCUCGCCGACCUUUUACACACACAUCAUGAAAGCCGUGGUUCUUGUAUUCGCUUUCGCCGUUGCCGCGUGCGUCUGCGAUGCCAGUGUGCUGCCUGCGGCGCCAUACGUGGCUGCCGCACCGUUAGCCGCACCGUAUGUCUUGCACCACGCACCAGUGUUCCACCACCCUGUAGUGGCCCACCCGGCGCCGGCUCCCGUUGUGGCGGCGCUGCCCGGCUACUCCUACACGUACACGUCACUCGCCCAGACACAUCCCGUUGCUGCCGCACCGUUUCAUCUGGUUGGAAAAUAAAGGACGUGUAACCGCAUACCGACUGCAGGGUAUGAUAUUUCAGGGAACGGAGUCCAGGUUGCGGAAGUGAUCGCGGCUCAACAGUUUUUCAUCCUCAGGACUGAACGGCUUCAAAAAAAGAAAAAAAAACAAUGUAUCGACCGAAGACAAGUGUGUAAUGACUGUACAAGAAAAAUAUUAAAGAAUGGUACUAUGAAACCAAUAAAGACAUGCCAAC
rnacentral:lncRNA from 1 species